GCUUCCUAUUUUUGUUGUGGAGUUCUCGUG
rnacentral:piRNA from 1 species